rnacentral:rRNA from 1 species
UGAGGAAUAUUGGGUCAAUGGGCGGAAGCCUGAACCAGCCAAGUAGCGUGAAGGACGACUGCCCUAUGGGUUGUAAACUUCUUUUAUGCGGGGAUAAAGUUCGCCACGUGUGGCGUUUUGCAGGUACCGCAUGAAUAAGGACCGGCUAAUUCCGUGCCAGCAGCCGCGGUAAUACGGAAGGUCCAGGCGUUAUCCGGAUUCAUUGGGUUUAAAGGGAGCGUAGGCCGCCUUUUAAGCGUGUUGUGAAAUGUAGGGGCUCAACCCCUGCACUGCAGCGCGAACUGGAGGGCUUGAGUACACACAAAGUAGGCGGAAUUCAUGGUGUAGCGGUGAAAUGCUUAGAUAUCAUGAAGAACCCCGAUUGCGAAGGCAGCUUACUGGAGUGUAACUGACGCUGAAGCUCGAAAGCGCGGGUAUCGAACAGGAUUAGAUACCCUGGUAGU